CUUCUGGCGUCAUUUUAUCUGUGGAACUGCAACCCCAGGCGAUUUAUUAUUUAAUACAGAAAGCAAGUCAUCUUUAAAAAGAAGUUGUGGUGACUUUAAGAGCCGGUGUGAACGUGUAGCAGCUCCGAUGGGUUCAUACUGUAUCCAGCGGACACACGUCCCGUAUUAAACCCCUGCGAUACCCGAGCGGUCACACAGCCGCACAGAGGAGACACAUCAUCAACAAACCGACACAUCAACAGAUGAAGAAUGAUAAACGUGUGAAGUUCAUGUUUCCAUGCGUUUAGAUCCAGUAGUGUAUCGUGUAUCGUGGACGUGUGUGUGAGUGUGUGUGAGUUGUGUGUCAGCCCGGUUGCUGUCCCUGGUCCUGGAUCCAUAUCGCCUCCAUGGUGAAACAAAGACUUUAGACACAGAGACCGACCAGGGAGCACAAACAGGAAGCAGCAAAUUGGAUGAUUACGUGUUGGAUCCAGGCAGCAUGGAGCAGGCACCCUAACAGAUUUUAGUUUUUUAUCCUACAGAAGGGGUUUGAUGGAGAUCUGGUCGAAUGACAGCGGG